ACAGGGACGGGUACACAGGGCUGGACACAUACUGUCUCCUUGGACGUUCACUCUCCCCACCCAGCCCCACAAGCUCCUUCCUGCUAAAGUUUCUUCCAGCCCCGCCCCCGUGACCCCACCCACCGGGUGUGGGUGCAGCCAGACAGAUUGUGCAGGGGGCACCCAGGAAGGUCCGGUAGCCAGGACUCUGCCCGGUGGCCCGGCUUGGCCCGGCUUGGCGGGAGAUGUUGGCCUGGAGCGUGGGGAGCUGCCUGCUGGCCGUGCUCAGCCUGGUGCUGCUCUGCAUGGCUCUCUUCACCGACUACUGGCUCGUGGCCUGCGGCCCCCGUAGCACGUCCCACAGCGGGCUCUGGCAGGAGUGCGUGGCCGACGUGUGCGUGAGCCCACCCCACGUCACUGAGUAUAUACAGCCACAACGGGGCCUUACCCUGAUCCUGGGGAGUGCUGGCCACCGCCGCGGCCUCCUUGCCCUCCUCUCUCCUGACCUCCUGCGUCCACAUCCCCGUGAGACAACCCUCCUGGCCUCACAAUCGCAGCUUCACACGCCGGCAGCUGACCUCCUGCCAUGGCGUGUACAACGGGCGAGUCCUGGCACAAGAACAGGACGGCAGGAUCUCAACUGACCUUCCAAUGUCCUUCUACCUGGGCUGGGCCGCGCUGCCCCUGCUGGGCCCUGAGCGGUGCCUUCGCCCUUGUGGCCCACCAGCCCCACGUGGGAUACGAGAGGCAGUGACCGGAGCCCCAGAGAGAUGGGGGGCAGGAUGGACCCCCCAAAAGGCCUCUGCUGUCCCCUGCUGGAGAAGAGCCGGCGCCCCCUAGAGGGGAAAGGCCUCGUGCCCCAUUCCCUGCCCCAGCCGGGCCCCACCCUCUGCCGUGGGGCUGGAGGGCAGCCGGCGCCCCAGAGGCUCACGUCGGUUGUUUUAGGGUCUGUUCCUCGUUGGGCCUUUUCCUGCUUUGAAAUAAAUCGUCCCUUUGCAUCCGA